UGGGGAAUAUUGGACAAUGGGCGAAAGCCUGAUCCAGCCAUGCCGCGUGUGUGAAGAAGGUCUUCGGAUUGUAAAGCACUUUAAGUUGGGAGGAAGGGCAGUAAGCGAAUACCUUGCUGUUUUGACGUUACCGACAGAAUAAGCACCGGCUAACUCUGUGCCAGCAGCCGCGGUAAUACAGAGGUUGCAAGCGUUAAUCGGAAUUACUGAGCGUAAAGCGCGCGUAGGUGGUUCGUUAAGUUGAAUGUGAAAGCCCCGGGCUCAACCUGGGAACUGCAUCCAAAACUGGCGAGCUAGAGUAGGGCAGAGGGUGGUGGAAUUUCCUGUGUAGCGGUGAAAUGCGUAGAUAUAGGAAGGAACACCAGUGGCGAAGGCGACCACCUGGGCUCAUACUGACACUGAGGUGCGAAAGCGUGGGGAGCAAACAGG
rnacentral:rRNA from 1 species